GUGUCAGCAGCCGCGGUAAUACGGAGGGUGCGAGCGUUGCUCGGAAUCAUUGGGCGUAAAGCGUACGCAGGCGGCUCGGUAAGUCGAGUGUGAAAUCCCGGGGCUCAACUCCGGACGUGCAUUCGAUACUGUCGAGCUUGAGUGCGGGAGAGGGAAGCGGAAUUCCUGGUGUAGAGGUGAAAUUCGUAGAUAUCAGGAGGAACACCGGUGGCGAAAGCGGCUUCCUGGCCCGACACUGACGCUCAUGUACGAAAGCGUGGGGAGCAAACAGGAUUAGAAACCCUUGUAGUCC
rnacentral:rRNA from 1 species